rnacentral:misc_RNA from 1 species
GAUGAAGAACGUAGCAAAAUGCGAUAAGUAAUGUGAAUUGCAGAAUUCAGUGAAUCAUCGAAUCUUUGAACGCACAUUGCGCCCGCUGGUAUUCCGGCGGGCAUGCCUGUUCGAGCGUCAUUUCAACCCUCAAGCCCCCGGGUUUGGUGUUGGGGAUCGGCUCUGCCCUUCUGGGCGGUGCCGCCCCCGAAAUACAUUGGCGGUCUCGCUGCAGCCUCCAUUGCGUAGUAGCUAACACCUCGCAACUGGAACGCGGCGCGGCCAUGCCGUAAAACCCCAACUUCUGAAUGUUGACCUCGGAUCAGGUAGGAAUACCCGCUGAACUUGAGCAUAUCAAUAAGCGGAGGA